CUAUACAUGCAAGUCGAACGAACGGAGGAAGAGCUUGCUCUUCCAAWGUUAGUGGCGGACGGGUGAGUAACACGUGGGCAACCUGCCUGUAAGUUGGGGAUAACUCCGGGAAACCGGGGCUAAUACCGAAUGAUAAAGUGUGGCGCAUGCCACGCUUUUGAAAGAUGGUUUCGGCUAUCGCUUACAGAUGGGCCCGCGGUGCAUUAGCUAGUUGGUAGGGUAAUGGCCUACCAAGGCAACGAUGCAUAGCCGACCUGAGAGGGUGAUCGGCCACACUGGGACUGAGACACGGCCCAGACUCCUACGGGAGGCAGCAGUAGGGAAUCUUCCGCAAUGGACGAAAGUCUGACGGAGCAACGCCGCGUGUAUGAAGAAGGUUUUCGGAUCGUAAAGUACUGUUGUUAGAGAAGAACAAGGAUAAGAGUAACUGCUUGUCCCUUGACGGUAUCUAACCAGAAAGCCACGGCUAACUACGUGCCAGCAGCCGCGGUAAUACGUAGGUGGCAAGCGUUGUCCGGAUUUAUUGGGCGUAAAGCGCGCGCAGGCGGUCUUUUAAGUCUGAUGUGAAAGCCCCCGGCUUAACCGGGGAGGGUCAUUGGAACUGGAAGACUGGAGUGCAGAGAGGAGAGUGGAUUCCA
rnacentral:rRNA from 1 species